UUGACCUCGGAUCAGGUAGGAUUACCCGCUGAACUUAAGCAUAUCAAUAAGCGGAGGAAAAGAAACCAACAGGGAUUGCCCCAGUAACGGCGAGUGAAGCGGCAACAGCUCAAAUUUGAAAUCUGGCCCUCGGGUCCGAGUUGUAAUUUGGAGAGGAUGCUUUUGGCGCGGCGCCGUCCGAGUUCCUUGGAACAGGACGCCAUAGAGGGUGAGAGCCCCGUACGGGCGGCCGCCUAGCCU
rnacentral:rRNA from 1 species